UACAGAGGUCCCAAGCGUUGUUCGGAUUCAUUGGGCGUAAAGGGUGCGUAGGUGGCGCCGUAAGUCGGGUGUGAAAUUCGGAGCUUAACUCCGAAACUGCAUUCGAUACUGCGGUGCUUGAGGACUGGAGAGGAGACUGGAAUUCAUGGUGUAGCAGUGAAAUGCGUAGAGAUCAUGAGGAAGACCAGUGGCGAAGGCGGGUCUCUGGACAGUUCCUGACACUGAGACACGAAGGCCAGGGGAGCAAACGGG
rnacentral:rRNA from 1 species